rnacentral:rRNA from 1 species
UAAGGAAUAUUGGUCAAUGGACGCAAGUCUGAACCAGCCAUGCCGCGUGGAGGAUGAAGGUCCUCUGGAUUGUAAACUUCUUUUAUCUGGGAAGAAAUCCAUUUUUUCUAAAGUGGUUGACGGUACCAGAUGAAUAAGCACCGGCUAACUCCGUGCCAGCAGCCGCGGUAAUACGGAGGGUGCAAGCGUUAUCCGGAUUCACUGGGUUUAAAGGGUGCGUAGGUGGGCAAGUAAGUCAGUGGUGAAAUCUCCGGGCUUAACCCGGAAACUGCCAUUGAUACUAUUUGUCUUGAAUACUGUGGAGGUCAGCGGAAUAUGUCACGUAGCGGUGAAAUGCUUAGAUAUGACAUAGAACACCAAUUGCGAAGGCAGCUGGCUACACAAAUAUUGACACUGAGGCACGAAAGCGUGGGGAUCAAACAGGAUUAGAUACCCUGGUAGUCCACGCCCUAAACUAUGGAUACUCGACA